ACGAACGCUGGCGGCGUGCUUAACACAUGCCAGUCGCACGGAAAGGCCCUGCUUUUGUGGGGUGCUCGAGUGGCGAACGGGUGAGUAACACGUGAGUAACCUGCCCUUGACUUUGGGAUAACUUCAGGAAACUGGGGCUAAUACCGGAUAGGAGCUCCUGCUGCAUGGUGGGGGUUGGAAAGUUUCGGCGGUUGGGGAUGGACUCGCGGCUUAUCAGCUUGUUGGUGGGGUAGUGGCUUACCAAGGCUUUGACGGGUAGCCGGCCUGAGAGGGUGACCGGCCACAUUGGGACUGAGAUACGGCCCAGACUCCUACGGGAGGCAGCAGUGGGAAAUAUUGCACAAUGGGCGGAAGCCUGAUGCAGCAACGCCGCGUGCGGGAUGACGGCCUUCGGGUUGUAAACCGCUUUCGCCUGUGACGAAGCGUGAGUGACGGUAAUGGGUAAAGAAGCACCGGCUAACUACGUG
rnacentral:rRNA from 1 species